rnacentral:lncRNA from 1 species
AUGGAGGUCCCGGUCAGUCCCCAGGUCUCAGUCAGUUCAGAGGUCCCGGUCAGUCCCCAGGUGUCAGUCAGUCCCCAGGUAGUCCCCAGGUCCCAGUCAGUCCCCAGGUCUCAGUCAGCUCAGAGGUCCCGGUCAGUCCCCAGGUCUCAGUCAGUUCAGAGGUCCCGGUCAGUCCCCAGGUCUCAGUCAGUCCCCAGGUCUCAGUCAGUUCAGAGGUCUCAGUCAGUCCCCAGGUCUCAGUCAGCUCAGAGGUCUCAGUCAGUCCCCAGGUCUCAGUCAGUCCCCAGGUCUCAGUCAGUCCCCAGGUCUCAGUCAGUCCCCAGGUCUCAGUCAGUCCCCAGGUCUCAGUCAGUCCCCAGGUCUCAGUCAGUCCCCAGGUCUCAGUCAGCUCAGAGGUCCCGGUCAGUCCCCAGGUCUCAGUCAGCUCAGAGGUCCUGGUCAGUCCCCAGGUCUCAGUCAGCUCAGAGGUCCUGGUCAGUCCCCAGGUCUCAGUCAGCUCAGAGGUCCCGGUCAGUCCCCAGGUGUCAGUCAGUCAGUCCCCAGGUCUCAGUCAGUCCCCAGGUCCCAGUCAGUCCCCAGGUCUCAGUCAGCUCAGAGGUCCCGGUCAGUCCCCAGGUCUCAGUCAGUCAGUUCACGGAGGUCCCGGUCAGUCCCCAGGUCUCAGUCAGUCAGUUCACGGAGGUCCCGGUCAGUCCCCAGGUCUCAGUCAGUCCCCAGGUCUCAGUCAGUUCAGAGGUCUCAGUCAGUCCCCAGGUCUCAGUCAGCUCAGAGGUCUCAGUCAGUCCCCAGGUCUCAGUCAGUCCCCAGGUCUCAGUCAGUCCCCAGGUCUCAGUCAGUCCCCAGGUCUCAGUCAGUCCCCAGGUCUCAGUCAGUCCCCAGGUCUCAGUCAGUCCCCAGGUCUCAGUCAGCUCAGAGGUCCCGGUCAGUCCCCAGGUCUCAGUCAGCUCAGAGGUCCUGGUCAGUCCCCAGGUCUCAGUCAGCUCAGAGGUCCUGGUCAGUCCCCAGGUCUCAGUCAGCUCAGAGGUCCCGGUCAGUCCCCAGGUGUCAGUCAGUCAGUCCCCAGGUCUCAGUCAGUCCCCAGGUCCCAGUCAGUCCCCAGGUCUCAGUCAGCUCAGAGGUCCCGGUCAGUCCCCAGGUCUCAGUCAGUCAGUUCACGGAGGUCCCGGUCAGUCCCCAGGUCUCAGUCAGUUCCCGGAGGUCCCGGUCAGUCCCCAGGUCUCUCUCUAG